ensembl:lncRNA
UAUUCACCCAUAAAGAAGCAAAAUAGCAUCAGAAAUUCAAAGAAACAGCUCAGUCACUAACCUCAGAGACAAGGGGCUUGGGUGUCGAACUCCAUGUUAACAGUAGAACACAUGACAGAUCUAAGUGACUUUAAAAAACUGAAGGGGAAAAAGUGAUACCACUGCAAUUUAGAAAAAUAAUCCAAGUUAGGAAGUGCCUCCAGAGAGCAGAGGGACACAGUGCUGUACAGAACGUGUGGAACGCUGACCUGCCCUCUACCUGAAAAAGCGAGGCAAUGGCUGCUGUUUGAAAUUUCAAAAAGGAGAAGUGUAGUGAAGCAACUUGCCUUGGCUCUCCCUGUGAGUCAUGUAGCUCGACAUCCAUUGGUGGGUGAGCCUUCACGCAGAGUGGCUGCACCUGGCCAAUCGCAAGUCAGAGUGGGCUCUGUAUGCAAAUCCUUUCAGAACUCUCUCCCUCUCUCUCUCUCUCUCUCUGUGUGGGUGAUUGUGUGGGCAGAGACAGGUGCGCUGGAGUCAGAGCAGAUACCCACCAGCUGCAACCUGUUCCAUAAUCAAGACCUCUACAAAUACUCAGCCCUGCCACUUCCAUGCUGCCAGAUCGUAAUCUCUGCUCAUUCUGCCCGCUCUGACUCUGGUCCCUGUCUCCAGUCCCACGUCUCGUCAUCCUGCUACUCUGUCCUGGAUUCCCCACACUACCCUGUCUCAACCCCUCUCGCUCCAACCUCAGCCUCCGCACCUGGUUUCCAGCGACCCGCCCGAGCUUCCCCUGACCUGCACUACAUCUCCCCCCUGUGUUUCAAUAAAUACCUUGGUUACUUCAUCCC